UACGGGGGGGGCAAGCGUUGUUCGGAAUUACUGGGCGUAAAGGGUUCGUAGGUGGCGCACUAAGUCAGACGUGAAAUCCCUCAGCUUAACUGGGGAACUGCGUCUGAGACUGGUGGGCUUGAGUGCAGGAGAGGAACGCGGAAUUCCAGGUGUAGCGGUGAAAUGCGUAGAUAUCUGGAGGAACACCGGUGGCGAAGGCGGCGUUCUGGACUGCAACUGACACUGAGGAACGAAAGCCAGGGGAGCAAACGGG
rnacentral:rRNA from 1 species